rnacentral:pre_miRNA from 1 species
ACAACAACAUUCGGACCGUCGGUCUACCGAGCAAUAUCACCCGCUCGGUGGAAGAUCUUCCCUUUGUCGUAUA